rnacentral:rRNA from 1 species
UACGAAGGGGGCUAGCGUUGUUCGGAAUUACUGGGCGUAAAGCGCACGUAGGCGGCUUUGUAAGUUAGAGGUGAAAGCCCGGGGCUCAACCCCGGAAUUGCCUUUAAGACUGCAUCGCUAGAAUUGUGGAGAGGUAAGUGGAAUUCCGAGUGUAGAGGUGAAAUUCGUAGAUAUUCGGAAGAACACCAGUGGCGAAGGCGACUUCCU